CAGCUAGUUGGCAGGGUAAAAGCCUACCAAGGCUGUGAUCGGUAGCCGGCCUGAGAGGGCACACGGCCACACUGGCACUGAAACACGGGCCAGACUCCUACGGGAGGCAGCAGUGGGGAAUCUUGCACAAUGGGGGAAACCCUGAUGCAGCGACGCCGCGUGAGCGAUGAAGCCCUUCGGGGUGUAAAGCUCUUUCGGCAGGGAAGAUUAUGACGGUACCUGCAGAAGCAGCUGCGGCUAACUACGUGCCAGCAGCCGCGGUAAUACGUAGGCAGCAAGCGUUGUUCGGAGUUACUGGGCGUAAAGGGAGUGUAGGCGGCCUGUUAAGUUCCGAUGUGAAAUC
rnacentral:rRNA from 1 species